AAUAUUGGACAAUGGGCGAAAGCCUGAUCCAGCAAUGCCGCAUGAGUGAUGAAGGCCUUAGGGUUGUAAAGCUCUUUUACCCGGGAUGAUAAUGACAGUACCGGGAGAAUAAGCUCCGGCUAACUCCGUGCCAGCAGCCGCGGUAAUACGGAGGGAGCUAGCGUUGUUCGGAAUUACUGGGCGUAAAGCGCACGUAGGCGGCUUUGUAAGUUAGGGGUGAAAGCCCGGAGCUCAACUCCGGAAUUGCCUUUAAGACUGCAUCGCUUGAAUCCGGGAGAGGUGAGUGGAAUUCCGAGUGUAGAGGUGAAAUUCGUAGAUAUUCGGAAGAACACCAGUGGCGAAGGCAGCCCCCUGGGAUAAUACUGACGCUCAUGCACGAAAGCGUGGGUAGCAAACAGG
rnacentral:rRNA from 1 species